UACGAAGGGAGCUAGCGUUGUUCGGAAUCACUGGGCGUAAAGCGCACGUAGGCGGAUGUGUCAGUCAGGGGUGAAAUCCCGGAGCUCAACUUCGGAACUGCCCUUGAUACAGCACGUCUCGAGUCCGAGAGAGGUGAGUGGAAUUCCUAGUGUAGAGGUGAAAUUCGUAGAUAUUAGGAAGAACACCAGUGGCGAAGGCGGCUCACUGGCUCGGUACUGACGCUGAGGUGCGAAAGCGUGGGGAGCAAACAGG
rnacentral:rRNA from 1 species